rnacentral:lncRNA from 1 species
CUCUAGGAUUCGUUCCUGUUUCCUGAAGAGCCUGCGGCAGGACUUUCCUGUUGUGAUGUCGGGGGAUCUCUAGACUAGCAUUUGCAGGUCCUUCAAGAUGAUAAGGUCCGGAGAGAGAGAUCGACGACAGAGGGCUUGCAUCACACAUGGGAACAUGGGAAGGCUCAAUUGCAAGUAGUUCCAAGUAACGGAAGAAAUAAAAGGUCCAAUUCCUCAUUUAGCCAGGCAUGGAAGAUUGCCACUAGUUUGAGGCCAGUCUGGGUUACAGAGUGAGACCUUGUCUCAAAAACAAACAAGAAACAUGAACCCAGACGGGCAGGAACUAUGGACUUGUGGAAGGAGCCCUGGUCAAGCAUUCAGCAGCUCCACACGGUUCAGUGCCAUCAGAAGUGCCAUAAAGAUCUGCAAAGACGAGAUGCCCCCAUGUUCUCGUUUUCAUCGGCUUGGAGAAGGACUCAAGUGAUAGUGACCCUCAGCUUUGAAGGACUUGAAGGAGUUAGGCAGGAAGAGAAAAGGAGGAAAGACAUGCCACCCCCACCCCCCAGACAGCCCUGAACACAAAAGCUGCCCUGCUGCACUCAGAGAACUGAAAACAGUUGAACCCAGCAGGAGCGCUUGGUGUGGGAGCCUGUGUCCACAGAAGAGAGUGUGGGUUUGGACUCUGACCCGCCUCGUGAGUCACGGAUUUCUCAUUGUCCUGAAGACAAGGCCUCAGUUUCUCAGAAGAGAUUAGCAGUGACCUGCUCAAGAUGGCUGCACACAGACAAGAGCUGAUGGCGGAUCAGCUCUGCCAGGGCCCAAGCAGAAGCUCCGGAAACCAUGCACUUUUUUGUUUAAGACCCUAUCUGCUCAGCGAAAGGCAAAGAGGCACAGGAGUCUGACAUUGGGGAGCAUGGUGCCGCUACAAAUGUCUCAGUGACUUUGAUGUGCCCCAUUCACCCUGACGGAUGAUCACAGGGACAACUCCAACUCAGAGCACACAAAUUCAGGACUUCCUUUUGCUGCACUUCCCACAAUGUCCCUUUUCACUGCACUUCCCACAAUGUCCAUGGCAUUAAGCAGAAACAUGGAUGACCACUUUGUCCACUGCUGGCAUGGGCGCCAUUUCCUCAGUGAUGCUAUGCCUCCUUCUGGAGGCUUCUAGUAAUAUAUAGGUUAAUUCUCAGUAUGUUGUUCUAGUUAUACCCAAAGUUUUACCAUGCUGAUAAACGUUCUUCAGGGAUUUGGGACACCAUGAGGUCUAACUUCUUUAAAAAUAAAUUUUCUAUUCUAUUGA